rnacentral:tRNA from 1 species
GGAAGGGUGGCCGAGUGGUUUAAGGCAACCGGUCUUGNAAAACCGGCGUGCCUGCAAGGGUACCGUGGGGUUCCGAAUCC